rnacentral:rRNA from 1 species
UACGUAGGCAGCGAGCGUUGUUCGGAGUUACUGGGCGUAAAGGGUGUGUAGGCGGUUCUCUAAGUUUGGUGUGAAAUCUCCCGGCUCAACCGGGAGGGUGCGCCGAAAACUGGAGGGCUAGAGUGCGGGAAGGGAGAGUAGAAUUCCCAGUGUAGAGGUGAAAUUCGUAGAUAUUGGGAAGAACACCGGUGGCGAAGGCGGCUCUCUGGACCGAGACUGACGCUGAGGCGCGAAAGCGUGGGGAGCAAACAGG